AGAAUCACCUGGCGGUCUUGAUGAAACACAAGCUGCUGAGCUUUACUCCAGAAUUUCUGGUUCAGUAGGUCUGCAGUAGGACCUGAAAUUUUAUAUUUCUAACAAGUUUUCAGGAGCUGCUGAUGCCGCUAGUACAGGGCUCACAUUUUGAGAACCUCUGGUCUAGCAAGUUGCCACCAAGAAUGAAGAUUGGGCCAGAGAACAGGAGGAAAUUUGUUUUGCAACAGAAAACAUAAGAAAUUUUCCCUGCUUGGAAGAUACUCAUACAUACCAGUUAAGCCAGACAUCUAAAACCAAGAUGACGAUGAAACUUUUCAAGUUGACACAUCUUACGAGUUUUAAAUUCUUAUUACCUUAAACCCAUAUUUUCCACACUGUAUCUUUGAAGAAAAAGAAGGACAUCCUGAAGGCUAUUCUGAAACAAGUCAACAUUUUGAUUUCAAACAUCAAAAAAGGUGUCCAGAAAUCUCAAGAAUUUGAGACAUCCUAAGGAACUUUAAGUGCUGUGAGCCACAAGUAACAUCAAGAAAAGACAGGGAUGAAGAACCGCACUUACAAGCUAAGUAAGAUUAAACCCAGCAUGGAGAUAUAUGAAUUAAUAUGAACUCUGAGAAAGAAAUUGGUCAGCUAAAAAAUAUAUGGCUUUCCUGAAUAGACAAAAGAACAAAGAUUUUCCCUUUGGUGUAAGCUCAUCCUACACAUGUCAUUUGGACCAGACCAAGGCUGCUGUCAUGGAGGACCCACACCACAGCUUGGGAACCAUUCAUCUACCAGAGGGUCACAUGACUUCAAAUGACUCUUCUAGGGGCCACCUGCCAUGAUAGGGUACCAGCUCUUCCUCUGAAUUCCCAAUCCAUUUCUUGAGAACUACUGUUUCUAAUAAGAGGGGAAGAAGGUCAUGUGGGAAUCAGUUAAAUCACGUGUGGAUAGAAGACAAGUUCCAGCUUUGUGGGAAAUCCUGUAGCCUUCGCCAGGUACACCCUGACAAUCUCAGAACUGAUCAGGAUUUGCUCAAAAUGGAUUUGCAAAGAGAAAAAAAAUUUAAUGUCACACUGCCAUGAUAAGUCAACCAACCAUCUCAUAUAUCAAAGGAGAGAGGCAGAGAAAGAAAAGGAGGAGGAUAAAGAAGAGGAGGAAGAGGACGAAAGGAAAACCAAGAGGAGGAGAAGCCACUUCUUACUUUGGAUUAAUGUGAAACUAAAUAGUUUACUACAUUUUAAGUGGGAAAAUGUUAGUUGAAAAGAUAUUUGUCAACCACAAACAUUUGAAAGGGAAGCAUUCCAAAGAUUUUCACUGUUUAUGUUCAAAUUACAACAUGUGCAGAAAGUUGUGCAACUGAAAAUCCUUUCAAACAACAGCUACAAAAGAGAUUGGUCAGUUAGGACAGGAAUAGAAAGUGGAAACUUAGAAGACUGGCUACUCCUUGUGUAUGAUUGCUGGGGUGAGUCUGUGCUGAGAACUUUUUACAAAGGGUGUCCUUUGCUGAUAUGAGAGGGGGGUGUCAAACUUUUGAGUGAUCACUGUGGGUCCUCAGCUUAGACAUCUUCUCUGGCCCAAGAUGGCACCCCUUGCUCUCUUUCCAUGGGACACAGGGACCUUGCCAUCCUUCCAUCUUAUAAGCCUUCUGUCAUGAUUUUUACUUCAUCCUAGAUAGCCUUAAUUUGGGCCAGGUCUCCAGGUUCCUCCACUUUCUUCUGUCCCAUCCAUACCCCUCACCAAUCCUCUGUAAAUUCCUUUCCAGGAUUUUACUGAGAACUACAGAGAAACAGGCUGGGAAUAACAAACAUGGGGAGUUAUGUAGUUAACAUACACUUUGACAUCACCUAGUCAUUUUCCUGAGUAUAUAGAUAACUCUGUUAUUACUGGUUAUAAGGUCCAUGAGAAGCCUUUAUCCUUUUCUGGAAACCAAGAAAGCACCUGCCCUCCCUCAGUCCUAAGGGGAGAAUCUUUAUGGGUGUAACAAUAAAAUGGAUAAUGGGAAAUUCUGAUGUCCUCAAGCAUACAUUCAGAUGUCCCCAAUGAGCAUCAUUUGUAUAUCAAGGGAACUCCAGAGAGAUGAUCCACAAUUCAGUGUGUCCCUUUGGCCAGUAGAGAGGUCACCUUAGUCUGGAAAUAAUGAUGAUAUAAUGUUAAAGAAACCUAACUAAACAA
rnacentral:lncRNA from 1 species